UCCAAUGUGGUGUAGUGGCCAACAUUGCUGUCUUUCAUUAGCUGUGGGCUUUACAUGUAUGCACAGCAGCCCGGGGUUCGAUUCCCCGCAUUGGAA